CAAAAGAAACAUUGCCAAGAGAUAGGAUGUGCUGUCCUGGAUAUCACUGAACUAACGAUAGGAGCUAACUGCAAAAGAAGGUGAAUCAUCUCCUUUGUAUGUUAGCAUGCAGCUAUCACACUUCAAUUAAAGAUGUAGGUAACUAGAUCAAAAUGAAGGAGACAAUUUUCUUCAGUGAAAGAAAGAGGAAUUUUAUUAACUACUCACCCCAGGAGCUGGUGAGAGUGAAAGAGGUACCUUGUACAAGAUAUGACAACAUAAUGGAAUUUUAAAUCAGCAAAAUGAUCAGAACCAUACUUCUGCCACAAGCAUCUGAAGAUGACAGCCAUUCAGUUCUGCCGACAUGGAGUAAGAACGACUCCAGUCUGCAUGUAGCAACUUCAGCUACAAGAGGUAACCAGCUGAUUUUAUAAAAACUAUGAUCACACGGAAUAC